CCUACGGGAGGCAGCAGUGGGGAAUUUUGGACAAUGGGCGCAAGCCUGAUCCAGCAAUGCCGCGUGAGUGAAGAAGGCCUUCGGGUUGUAAAGCUCUUUUGUCAGGGAAGAAACGGUGGGGGCUAAUAUCCCUCGCUAAUGACGGUACCUGAAGAAUAAGCACCGGCUAACUACGUGCCAGCAGCCGCGGUAAUACGUAGGGUGCAAGCGUUAAUCGGAAUUACUGGGCGUAAAGCGUGCGCAGGCGGUUUUGUAAGUCUGUCGUGAAAGCCCCGGGCUCAACCUGGGAAUUGCGAUGGAGACUGCAAGGCUUGAAUCUGGCAGAGGGGGGUAGAAUUCCACGUGUAGCAGUGAAAUGCGUAGAGAUGUGGAGGAACACCGGAUGGCGAAGGCAGCCCCCGUGGGUCAAGAUUGACGCUCAUGCACGAAAGCGUGGGGAGCAAACGAGGAUUAGAUACCCUGGUAGUCCACGCCCUAAACGAUGUCUACUAGUUGUCGGGUUUUAAUUAACUUGGUAACGCAGCUAACGCGUGAAGUAGACCGCCGUGGGGAGUACGGUCGCAAGUAUUAAAACCUCAAAUGAAAUUGACCGGUCGUGAGACGUCGACGACGGACGACGACGAGGGAGGUUAGG
rnacentral:rRNA from 1 species